UUAAUUUACUAAAAUUAAAUGUUAAGUUUUUUUUUUGCUAUUUUUAAGUUGCAUUUAAGUUGUUAGCUUGUAAUUUCUGGUCUUUGAAAUUUGUUUUCUUUUCAAAUUAUUUCUUUUGAUUUUAUAUAUUGGAAUUAUUUUGUAACCUUUUUAUGUUUUAACUGAUCCAUGUUUCUCUUUGUCUUACAGGUAAAAAUCCUUGGUGAAGUCACCAGAUAUGGAUGGUGUCCAUGUAACUUCAAAACUGCCGUUGGCCUUCGUACACAUGUGUAUCGUAACCAUGCAGUGAUUACACCAAGUGCUGACAAAUCACACAGUGCUGUUAAUAUGACAUGCCAGGUUAUGGGAUGUUCUUUCACUUCCACAUCUGGGGAUGCAUUGUGAAACUAAUAUCUCUGUCGUGUAUGUUGUUCGAUAUUGCAGCGUGCUGAUGAGUUAAUAGAGAGGCAGCAAAAACCUGGGAUCUGCAUUGGCCCUGUCAAGUCUGGAGAGUGAUUUUACCGUUUAAUGAAUUAAAUUGUAAUAAAAGUUUUUAAAUGGACUUCUGAGUGUUGUCAUAAUUUACGUGACAUCUAAUAAUCAAUAAUAUAACUGUGUGAAUUUUUUUUUGCA